AUCAAAUUCCAAAUUAAAACCCACGGUAUUCCAAAUUCAUCUGCUCCUUAUCAGAUGAAAAUGAUUGGGAAAGGUUUCAUUGUGAAAUAUUUCAGAAGAUAGGAAAUAAUAAUAAUAAUAACCUGCAUGCAUUAUUCGCCAAUGCAGCAUAUAGUCCUAGAUACUUGGGAAGUGUCUGACAAUCCAAUACAACAGCCAGCAUAGUUAUCUUGUUUGCUGUGUACUAAUCUUGUUGUGUAUAUAAUAAUAAUAAUAAUAAUAAUAAUAAUAAUAAUAAUAAUAAUAAUAAUAGUAAUAGCAACUUUAUUUAUACCCCACCCUAUCUUCCAGGGACUUGGAGCAGCUUCCAAUCAUAAAAAAUAUAAUAGAUACAUAAAACAACUGGGUGACAUAAUGCAUUAAGACAAGUCAAGCUGAACAGAAAACAACGAACACACAAACAAUUAUUACAUAAAACAAUUUAAACAAGCUUUUAAAAGUCCAAGUCACAUUCUCUCAGCCUCGGAGGAAGGCAAUGGCAACCCGCUCCUGAACAAAUCUUGCCAAUAAGGCCACCAUUGAUCAAAGAUGACUUGGGGCACACAACAACAAGUUACAUUGGGAACCUCUCACACAUACAUAAGAUGGGCUAAGAAGCAAUACAUAAAUGCUCUAAAUACAUACAUUUGGGAGUUUUAACUUAGUCACAGGUAUGAUCAGAAAGGUUGCAGGUUCGAAUCCGGGGAGUGGGGUGAGCUCCUGCUGUUAGCCCCAGCUUCUGCCAACCUAGCAAUUCAAAAACAUGUAAAUUAGAAAAAAAGAAAAGACUAACAUUAAGAGAAUCAUGGGAGGAGGAAUUAGGAACAAAGAUAACGGAAAAAGAAUGGGAGGAGAUAUGGAAAACAAGACAAUUAAAAAACAUGUCAAUUAGAAUAAAAGAAAAUUAUUACAAACUAAUUUGGAAGUGGUAUUUAACACCAAGAAGGUUAAAUAUUAUGAAUAAGAAUAAUAAUGAAAAAUGCUGGCGAGGGUGCCAGGAAAUUGGAACCUACAUGCAUAUGUGGUGGGAUUGUAAACAUGUAAAAGGUUUUUGGAAGGAAUCCAGUGGAAAUAUUACUUUUAAUUAAAAAAGAGGAUGAGAAAGAUAAGAGGGAAAAAAUUUUAAUAGACAUGCUAUUAACAGCAGCUAGAUUAUUAAUUGCAAAAUAUUGGAAAGGAGAAAUGAAAAUACAAAUUAAUGAAUGGUAUAAAGAAGUUUGGCGAAUGGCACUGAAUGACAAGCUAACAUCAAAUUUAAAAGUAAAGAAGGGAUUAUGGGAAAAAAUGAUUUUUAAAGUAUUUGGAGAAAAUUUCUAGAAAAAUUAUUGGAAAAAGAAGAUGGGAAUUUACCUCCAAAUGAAGAAUUGAACUUUUGGUGGGACUACAGAAGAAGAGAUGGCUCUGGGGAAGGGGAGCACAGGGGUGAAUGUAAAUAAAAGAGGGGGAAAUGUAUAGAAUAUGUUUAUAUAAUUGUAACUUUUUCUCAAUAAUAACAAUAAAAAAUAUUUUAAAAAAAAGAAGUUUAUUCCAUUGGUUUCCUUGGAUCCUAUUGACAAGAGACUGCAUUCAAUUGUGACAUAUAAUUUGGCAUAGAUCUUGUCCAGGGUAACAAUAUAUACAUUUAGGCAAUGUACCGUAUAUACUCGAGUAUAAACCGACCAGAAUAUAAGCCGAGACACCUAAUUUUACCACAAAAAACUGGGAAAACUUAUUGACUCGAGUAUCAGAUGAUUGUGGGGAAUGCAGUAGCUACUGAUAAAUUUAAAAAAUAAAAAUAGAUACAGUAGAGUCUCACUUAUCCAACAUAAACGGGCCGGCAGAACGUUGGAUAAGCGAAUAUGUUGGAUAAUAAGGAGGCAUUAAGGAAAAGCCUAUUAAACAUCAAAUUAGGUUAUGAUUUAUAAAAUGAAGCACCAGAGCAUCAUGUUAGACAACAAAUUUGGCAGAAAAAGUAGUUCAAUAUGCAGUAAUGCUAUGUAGUAAUUACUGUAUUUAUGAAUUUAGCACCAAAAUAUCACGAUAUAUUGAAAACAUUGACUACAAAAAUGCGUUGGAUAAUCCAGAACAUUGGAUAAGCGAGUGUUGGAUAAGUGAGACUCUACUGUACCAAUAAAAUUAUAUUGAGACAUCAGUAGGUUAAAUGUUUUUGAAUAUUUACAUAAAACUGUAAUUUAAGAAAAUAAUAAGACUUUAAUAAGAUAAGACUAUCCAACUCUUAUUACCUAUAUAUUCGAGCAUAAGCUGACCUGAAUAUAAACCAUCCAGGACCCUCACUUGUGUAUAAGCCGAGGGGGGGGGGGGGCUUUUUCAGCCCUUAAAAAGGGCUGAAUAUUUGGCUUAUACAGUAUUCCUCCUACAACAUGAGUGCCAGUAGACCCAUUCUAAAGUUUUAUUUACUUAUUACACUUUGUGUCUAUUCCAAGGUUUCAUACCACUUGCAGAAUAUUUUAUUGAUUUGAAAUAAAACAGUAUCUUGAUAAAACAGGCUGUGAUUUGCACCCUAGUUUUGAACAAAUGGACAGGAACACAAAUGCAAUGAGAUGUAAUUAUAUAG
ensembl:lncRNA